GAGGCGGGCCGGGCAGCCGCGGUGCCUCGGCGCCGAGGAAAGUCCGGACACCACAGAGCAGGGUGCUGGUUAACGGCCAGCGGGGGAAACCCCAGGGAAAGUGCCACAGAAACGACACAGCCUCGAGGGCCUUGCGCCCCGCGGCAACGGUGAAACGGUGCGGUAAGAGCGCACCAGCGGUCUGGUGACAGGCCGGCUGGGUAAACCCCACCCGGUGCAAGGCCAAAUCGGGGCGUCACGGGUUGCUCGCCCAGUCCCAGGUAGGCCGCACGAGGCGUCCGGCAACGGGCGUCCCAGAGAGAUGGCUGUCCCCGACAGAAUCCGGCUUACAGGCCCGCUACGGAC
rnacentral:RNase_P_RNA from 1 species